rnacentral:rRNA from 1 species
CUCCGACAUGACGCAUGUCGUGUCGGGAAAGAUUCAUCGGUAUGGGAUGGGGUCGCGUCCUAUCAGCUUGAUGGCGGGGUAACGGCCCACCAUGGCUUCGACGGGUAGCCGGCCUGAGAGGGCGACCGGCCACAUUGGGACUGAGAUACGGCCCAGACUCCUACGGGAGGCAGCAGUGGGGAAUAUUGCACAAUGGGCGCAAGCCUGAUGCAGCGACGCCGCGUGCGGGAUGACGGCCUUCGGGUUGUAAACCGCUUUUGACUGGGAGCAAGCCCUUCGGGGUGAGUGUACCUUUCGAAUAAGCACCGGCUAACUACGUGCCAGCAGCCGCGGUAAUACGUAGGGUGCAAGCGUUAUCCGGAAUUAUUGGGCGUAAAGGGCUCGUAGGCGGUUCGUCGCGUCCGG